AGGUCCUGGACGUCUGCUUUGACCUCAGUGGUCAGCUGGUGGCUUCUGCUUCUGCUGAUGGCACAGCCAGAGUGUUCAGCACCACCACUCACCAGUGUCUGGUGACCCUGGAGGGCCACGGCGGGGAGGUCUCCACGAUCUGCUUCAGCCCUCAGGGCAGCCGGAUCCUGACGGCCGGCCAGGACUCGACGGCCCGGCUGUGGGACGUCCGGUCUGGAGUCUGCCUCCAAGUCCUGGAGGGUCACACGGACGAGA